rnacentral:misc_RNA from 1 species
UUAACUAUUAAAUAGUAUUCAGACGACAUAAAAUAACAGAGUUGGGUCCUCUGGCAAGCACUCUCCAGCCGAAGCCGGUGCUCAAUCGCUAAGCAAUCUCGCGGCCUGCCAAAGCAACAAGUAAUAAUAUACAAGGGUGGAGUUUUCCAGAGAACGGUUUUACCCGACCCCAGAGAAACCUUUUAAUGAUCCUUCCGCAGGUUCACCUACGGAAA